rnacentral:tRNA from 1 species
CAGCGUCUGCGCGGCGGCGGUGUGCCUGCCGGCGUUGCUGGCGCCGCGCCGGCCGCUCUGGCCGGCGGUCGCGGGGCUCGGCGUCGCGGUCGCGGCC